rnacentral:rRNA from 1 species
UACCGGCAGCCCAAGUGAUGGCCGAUUUUAUUGGGCCUAAAGCGUCCGUAGCUGGCCGCACAAGUCCAUCGGAAAAUCCACCCGCUCAACGGGUGGGCGUCCGGUGGAAACUGUGUGGCUUGGGACCGGAAGGCGCGACGGGUACGUCCGGGGUAGGAGUGAAAUCCCGUAAUCCUGGACGGACCGCCGAUGGCGAAAGCACGUCGCGAGAACGGAUCCGACAGUGAGGGACGAAAGCUAGGGUCUCGAACCGG